UGUUAUUGCAGUGAGAUGGAAGAUUUUCGAGGUAUAGCAGAAGAAUCAUUUCCAAGCUUUCUCACCAAUUCAUUAUUUGGUAACAGUGGGAUUUUGGAAAAUGUCACUCUUUCUUCAAAUCUUGGCUUGCCUGUUGCUGUUUCCACACUUGCUAGGAAUAGAUCCAGCACUGAUAACAGGUAUCCUGAUAUCCAGGCAUCUUACUUAGUAGAAGGGAGAUUUUCAGUUCCAUCCGGGUCAUCUCCCGGAAGCCAGAGUGAUGCUGAACCAAGAGAGAGGUUACAGCUUAGCUUCCAGGAUGAUGAGUAAGUUCAUACCUUCAUUUGCUUGUACUGUGUUAAAAGUGGGUCUUACGCAGUCUUGUGGAAAAUGACAAUGUG
rnacentral:lncRNA from 1 species